GGAGUUUUGAGGGCGUUUCUGUCCACAUCGCCAAGCUCCACAGUAUCACCAGGCCCUACAAAAAUCCAAACCCAGAGUGGCCUCCUCUCCAUUUCUCCGUAAGUCCUCACAAUUCCUUACUUUUUUUUUUUUGUCUUAAUUCGCCAUACCCACUUCCAAUUUUCCCUUUUUCUCUGAGAAUCUUUUGUGGAAGUUUCAAUUUUAUAAUGCUUUUCAUCUCACCCUUAUUGCAGAAUUAGGGUCUUUAAAGACUGUAUUAAGAAUCCCAUAUUCAGAAACCUGAAAUUUUCAAUUGGGGUGGUUUUUUAUGGGUCCAAAGCGAUAAUGAGUUUUGCCCAGAAAUGUGUUUUAGCAGAAGAGAGUGGUAGUUACUUCAAAUUUGUAACUUUUGGUUUGGGCUUUGUUUGUUUUGUUUUGCAUCUUUUGGUUGGCGAUUGUGAAGUGUCAAAUUUUUCAUUGUUUCCUGCAAUUUAGAUUUGGACCAAGAAUAACUUGAAGCCUAUUAACCCUAUUGUUGUUAAUCAUGUUGGUAUGCCUUGUUGGUCAAUUACCCUGUUGCUAAAACUUUUGAGUUAAAUUUGUAGUUUAAAUCCAUGUGUUGAAUCCUUGUCUUUUGAGAGGUCUAAGGUAGUUUAAAUCCAUGUGUUAAGGCAAUUAUCACAACUAUUUAGCUACUUCAUUUAAUAUACAUUGUUGAUCCAUUAUCUAAUAGCACAAGCUCUAUGAUUAAGUGGUUAUUAACAUUUACAAAGGUUGGAAUUCCUAUCUUAUCUUGGUAAGGUAGAUGACUUCUUCUCUCAAUUUGUGGGGCUAGGGGAAGCACCCUACAACUAAGGUAAAUGGUUUCUCAACUCCCAAAAUUGCUUAGUUAAUCUAUUAAUGCAAGAAACGCUUCCCCUUCUACCGACAGGUUAAGAGGGUAUUUCCUUCACUUACUCUGCUUCUUGUUUCCAUGUUUGGGCUAUAAGGUAAACGUGGGGUGCUAAUCCCUUCCAAUUUUGUUUCCAUGUAUUAAUAUUGUUGGAGAAUAUAGUUGCAAACUAGAAGAAUAUAGUUGGAGGAAUGGGACAUGCUUUUGUAGAUGGUGUCUCAAACUCAAUUCCCUUGCUUAAACUUUUUGAGUUUAAUUUGUAGUUUAAAAUAGUGUUGAAUCCUUGGCUUUUGAGGAGUCUUAGGUUUGGACCUCACCACUUAUUUAUUCUCUUUGUAUUCAAUACAUAUGUGAGAGGAUGUCUUAAGGCAAUUAUCAUAAGUAUUAAUUGGCCUAACAUACAUUGUUAAUCUACUAAUUAAUAGCAUAAGCUGUUGGACUGUAACCAACAUUUCCUAAAGUUAGAAUUCCUAUCUUAUUUUGGUAAGAUAGAUGACUUCUUCUCUCAAUUUACAAGGCCAUGGACUCUACAACUAAGGCAAAUGGCUUCCUGAGUUCCAAAUUGCUAAGUUAAUUCAUUGACACAAGAAAAACUUCUCCUUAUACCAAUUUUAUUUCCAUGCAUUGAAAAGAAAAAAAAAAUCAACUUAGAGCGUUCUACCCCAUGGGUUUGGUGUAACUCUGUAAGGUAGUUGGAUGCAUAGCAUGCUAGUAUCAUAGAUACACCAAGCAAUUUCUUGUAUCCUUUUUCUUGGUCAUCACCUUGGUAAUUUAUGUAGAAGUGGUCAAAUGGCCACAAACUAAAAUUACCUCUCUCUCUCUCUCUCUCUCUCUCUCUCUCUCUCUCUCUCUCAUGCACAUAAAUACACAUCAUUUUUUGCUCAGUCUUCGUGAACUAUAGUUCCCUCAUUAUUAGAAUUCUGUUAAUUCCUCAUAUUAGUUUGAGAUUUUAUUUUUUUGAUUUAUUUAUUUAUUUUUAUCUUUAUAUUGGAAGAUGUAAGAUAUGUUGGAUAUUUGUAUUUUUGUAACUUCAAUAGUUCUUUUUUUUUUUUUUCUGCAGCAAGAAGAAAGCUUAAGCUUGAGGCUCAUGUUGUAUAUAUAUGCUUUACAUAGUUUGAUUGUACACCAAGUGUUUGUUUGCUUCGGUUUGUAGUCUAUGAUAUAGGUUUCAUACUUAGUUGCCUACCAUUUAUUUAUUUUUAUUGCAAUUGUUAUAAUUACCAUAUAUUCUUUCUGUUUUCUGCUUUGUAAAUUGAUUUUUGAGAUUGACAUCUCAUUUUAACAUGUACUUUUGUAAUAUGCUAUGUUUAUUACAUAUUCAGACUCAGGUCAAUGGUGUGUUCCUUUUUGCUACAAUGCGCUCUCUUUAAAGUUAGUGGAUUUGUUGCAGUCUGAACAUAACUUAACCCAUAGUACAUGUAUUGCAGAAAACACCUACAUUCCACAGUUUAUUGAAAAGAUAGCAACAUAUUAUCUGUGCAGAGCGCUUCAACAGGUCACCGUAGCUAGAAUUUUGAGCUAAGAACAUCAAACGUGCAGCCCUUAAAUGCAGCUUCUUUGUUGUGUGGUGAAUUUUUUGCUCAUAUAUACUGCUUUGCAUUUGUCUUCUAUGUGUGCCAUGGUUACUAUCACAAUAUCCAACAUGUCAUGUUCUCACUUUUGAACCUUCCUUCAUGGUUUUGAUCUGUUUUAGAGAGAAUUUGACACAAUCCAAAGUGGGGUUAGUAUUGCUUAUUGCUUUUGGCUAUUCAUAUUAUUUAUAAUAUAUAUAAAAUUUAAUUUCCAAUCACAUCAAAAACCUUGUAAUAUCCUCAAAUACACUUAUAAUCACAUUUCACAUUCUCCCUUCCUUUUCAGAUCACAUUAAUUGUUUAUCCCUUGUGUGUUUGUUGUGGUGUUUCUAUUAGUUCUCGAUCCUUCUUAAGAUUGGUGCUAGUAUUUUUUGAGUUGUUACUACUCUAUUCAUUCUAAGGCUAAAAUAUUCUCCCUAAACUUCAAAUUUUUCUUCACAGAUUUGAUGAAUUGCUUUCCAAAUCAAGAUUAUUGUAAGCUUACACAAAGUACAACAUAAAAUUACAUACAAUAUUUAAUUUAUUGUAAGUUCACACAAAGUAUACAUACAAUCAUUGUAACUGCAUGCCUUCAGUUUUAGCUACGAUUUGCUCUCCUCUUC
rnacentral:lncRNA from 1 species